rnacentral:rRNA from 1 species
ACUGAUUGUCGUGCUUGCGCGGACUUGACGUUGGUUUACCAGCGAGUGGCGGACGGGUGAGUAACACGUAGGUAACCUGCCCCAAAGCGGGGGAUAACAUUUGGAAACAGAUGCUAAUACCGCAUAACAAUUUGAAUCGCAUGAUUCAAAUUUAAAAGAUGGGUUCGGCUAUCACUUUGGGAUGGACCUGCGGCGCAUUAACUUGUUGGUAGGGUAACGGCCUACCAAGGCUGUGAUGCGUAGCCGAGUUGAGAGACUGAUCGGCCACAAUGGAACUGAAACACGGUCCAUACUCCUACGGGAGGCAGCAGUAGGGAAUCUUCCACAAUGGGCGCAAGCCUGAUGGAGCAACACCGCGUGAGUGAAGAAGGGUUUCGGCUCGUAAAGCUCUGUUGUUAGAGAAGAACGUGCGUGAGAGCAACUGUUCACGCAGUGACGGUAUCUAACCAGAAAGUCACGGCUAACUACGUGCCAGCAGCCGCGGUAAUACGUAGGUGGCAAGCGUUAUCCGGAUUUAUUGGGCGUAAAGCGAGCGCAGGCGGUUUGAUAAGUCUGAUGUGAAAGCCUUUGGCUUAACCAAAGAAGUGCAUCGGAAACUGUCAGACUUGAGUGCAGAAGAGGACAGUGGAACUCCAUGUGU